UCUUGGGCAAUGGGCGCAAGCCUGACCCAGCAACGCCGCGUGGAGGAUGAAGUCCCUCGGGAUGUAAACUCCGACAGAAGGGGACGAAUAAGCAUGGGCUAAUACCCCGUGCGAUGACGGUACCCUUUGUAAGCCCCGGCUAACUACGUGCCAGCAGCCGCGGUAAUACGUAGGGGGCAAGCGUUGUUCGGAUUUACUGGGCGUAAAGCGCGCGUAGGCGGCACUGCAAGUCACUUGUGAAAUCUCCGGGCUUAACUCGGUAGGGGCCAAGUGAUACUGCAGAGCUAGAGUGCGGAAGAGGCAGCUGGAAUUCUCGGUGUAGCGGUGAAAUGCGUAGAUAUCGAGAGGAACACCGGUGGCGAAGGCGGGCUGUGGGCCGACACUGACGCGAGGCGCGAA
rnacentral:rRNA from 1 species